UGUGUAUCGGCUGCCUGACUUUGCAGCUGCUGCUUCACGUGGGCUGAGCUAAGCGCAGCCACGCCCACCACACGGGACGCUACUCCGUGGCUGUAGCUGCCAAAGCGUGGGCAGAGGGCUGGAAUUGGGCAAUGGAGAGACUGACCUGGUGGCCCCUGGAGCUGAGUUCCCAUACUGGCGGCACUUUGGAAACCUGUGUUUUCAUCCUUCUAUGCCACUCACGGGCCCUGGGUCUUGAUUCCAGUGCUUUGCCACCAUAAGCCUCAUCGGUGCAGUGGGGCUGAAAUCUGCGCCCUGCCAGCCUCCCCGACACACUGAGAGGACAAAUGGAGAAGAUGAAUGUGAACAGUAAAACACAGCAAGCCCUACAGGUGUUUUACCAUCUUUUACCAUCUAUACCCCACAUGCUGAUGGAUGCCGCUUUAAGAAGCAAGUGUGUGGUUAUCAACAAGACUAAGAUCAACUUCACAAGGACCCAGGACAGUGGCCAGUGCUGAUGAAGUGACCAACUUAAUCAGCUUCUUAACCAUUAUCAACAACAUCCUCAGCAUCUCUUUUCAUUGGUAAAGACCAGAAAAGCAUAAUGGGCCUCCGUCUUGAGCUCUGAGAAUUGGAAGAAUGUGAUGUGUAUAUUUUGUAGUGCGGUGGGCAAUGAAGAUUAAACAUCACAUUACUAAGACAGUAAAAAACAAAGAAACAAAACAAAAAACCAAACAACAACAACAAAGAAUGUACCAAAAGAGGUCUUAGAGACUAGACUGCCUUUUUUUUUCUAAUGAACAUAUGAGAAAAUUAAAGUCACAAAGAAAAUCAGUGGCAGAGCUGAGACUAGAAUCAAGUUCUGAGGUCCAGGUUCUUGCUUGUUCCACUAAUCCACUCUAAACAAGAGGCCUCAAGUCAGGUAUUAAAGGCCCUGAAGGGAGAAACUCAUGCCUGCAGCAGGGAGCUCUGCUUAAGCCUUGUGGUGACCUGAAUGGGAAGGAAACCCAAAGGGAGGGGAUACAUGUGUAUGUAGGAGUUUCCCAGGUGCACUGUGGUGAAGAAUCCACCUGCCAGUGCAGGAAAUACAAGAGAUGUG